CCUACGGGAGGCUGCAGUGGGGAAUAUUGCGCAAUGGGCGAAAGCCUGACGCAGCGACGCCGCGUGAGUGAUGAAGGUCUUCGGAUCGUAAACCUCUGUCAGCAGGGAAGAACGGUCACUGUGCUAAUCAGCAGUGAAUUGACGGUACCUGCACAGGAAGCACCGGCUAACUCCGUGCCAGCAGCCGCGGUAAUACGGAGGGUGCGAGCGUUAACCGGAAUUACUGGGCGUAAAGCGCUCGUAGGCGGUAUGUCAAGUCAAGGGUGAAAUCCCCGCGCUCAACGUGGGAACUGCCUUUGAAACUGGCAAACUGGAGUGUGUGAGAGGAUAGUGGAAUUCCAGGUGUAGGGGUGAAAUGCGUAGAUAUCUGGAGGAACAUCAGUGGCGAAGGCGACUAUCUGGCACAUAACUGACGCUGAGGAGCGAAAGCGUGGGGAGCAAACAGGAUUAGAUACCCCUGUAGUC
rnacentral:rRNA from 1 species